rnacentral:misc_RNA from 1 species
UUAAGGCAUGGCACACAUUUCCCAUAGCCGUGUUAGUUCAGAUGGAGUUUAUAGUUUCUAGGGCUCCUAUUCAUCCAGGAUGUGCAAUUUCCUACUGAGGCUGGUGGGGAAUGAUAAUGUUCUGAUAGUAAGUUGGGAAAAGGAGAUACAAAAAGAAAUUUCUAUGGGUAAUUAUAAAUGUUACAUAAGGUGAAGAAUGUGCUGGUUGGAGUAAAUCGUAAGGUUAGAAUU